CAGAAAAGUAGUUUCAAAAAAAAUAUUAGCAUUGGAAGCUAAAGACUAGGCUAACCCUACUUUCUGA
rnacentral:tRNA from 1 species